rnacentral:misc_RNA from 1 species
GAUGAAGAACGUAGCGAAAUGCGAUAAGUAAUGUGAAUUGCAGAAUUCAGUGAAUCAUCGAAUCUUUGAACGCACAUUGCGCCCGCCAGUAUUCUGGCGGGCAUGCCUGUCUGAGCGUCAUUUCAACCCACAUGCCCCUAGGGCGUGGUGUUGGGGAUCGGCCAAAGCCCGCAAGGGACGGCCGGCCCCUAAAUCUAGUGGCGGACCCGUCGUGGCCUCCCCUGCGAAGUAGUGAUAUUCCGCAUAGGAGAAGCGACGAGCCCCUGCCGUUAAACCCCCAACUUUCUCAGGUUGACCUCAGAUCAGGUAGGAAUACCCGCUGAACUUAAGCAUAUCAAUAAGCGGAGGA